GUAGUCAUAUGCUUGUCUCAAAGAUUAAGCCAUGCAUGUCUAAGUAUAAGCAACUUUGUACUGUGAAACUGCGAAUGGCUCAUUAAAUCAGUUAUAGUUUAUUUGAUGGUUUUUUGCUACAUGGAUAACUGUGGUAAUUCUAGAGCUAAUACAUGCAUUCAAGCCCCGACUUCUGGAAGGGGUGUAUUUAUUAGAUAAAAAUCAACUUUGUUGGUGAAUCAUAAUAACUUCUCGGACCGCAUGGCCUCGUGCUGGCGGUGCUUCAUUCAAAUAUCUGCCCUAUCAACUGUCGAUGGUAGGAUAGAGGCCUACCAUGGUUGCAACGGGUAACGGGGAAU
rnacentral:rRNA from 1 species